rnacentral:rRNA from 1 species
CGGAACGGGUGAGUAACGCGUGAGGAACCUGCCUCAAAGAGGGGGACAACAGUUGGAAACGACUGCUAAUACCGCAUAAGCCCACGGCUCGGCAUCGAGCAGAGGGAAAAGGAGAGAUCCGCUUUGAGAUGGCCUCGCGUCCGAUUAGCUAGUUGGUGAGGUAACGGCCCACCAAGGCGACGAUCGGUAGCCGGACUGAGAGGUUGAACGGCCACAUUGGGACUGAGACACGGCCCAG